rnacentral:lncRNA from 1 species
UUGAUUGACUCAAGAAACUGCAAAAUUUAGUUUAUCUGCUUCAGGUACAGCUGGAUCUAGGAUUUCAAAUGAUGCCAUCAGGAUUUGGUCCUCCAUCUCUCUGCUUUUCCCUGUGUUGGCUUCACUCUGGAGCAGGCCCUUUCCAAAUUCGGGCAGCUCCAGGCUGACACUCUCCCAGUUCCAAGCCCAGUAGGAGGAAACAUUCAUUUCUCCAAAUGUUUAAACACAGGAUCUGGAAAUGGAACUCCCUGGACUGGUUUGGGUCAUAAGACUACGCCUGAAGCAGUCCCUGUGCGGAGGUGGAGUAGAAGACUCUGAUUGACUAGGUUGGGGUCACAUGCCUGAGACAUGAGCCCCACCCAAACCACAUGGACUGAGAGUGGGGCAGGGAUGGCUUCCCAGGAAUAAAGGCAUUUAGAGAUCAGAAGGAAAAGGAACAGGUGCUGGGUGAGCAAAGAUGACCGUCUGGACCUUGAGCUCCUGGUCCUUUGGACAGUGGGGAGCCAGUGAAGGCUUUAAUUUGGGGACUGAGCAGCCUAGAUCAGAUUUGGGCUUUAGGAGUCGAGAAGGGGGAGCGGAUGGGGGCAGAGAUACUUGUAGGAAGGUGCAAGACCCUUUAAGAGAUCCUGGAGGCCUGAGGCAGAUGGCACGGAGAGGAGGGGAAGAUGCAGAAGAAGCCUGGCUGGGAUGCCCCUGUUGUUACUGGAACGGCUGUUCCAAGGACCAAGACCACGUCACCCUCUUGCUAUGGGCCUGCAGAUGCCAGUGAGAGCGUGGGCUGAGGGCCCAGCCUCCCCUCCCCCCAGAGCCCCAUGACUAACUCUUUCCCUCCAUCUGUUCCCACACUGACUUGCACCCCUCCCGCCCUGGGGUCCCAGGGAAUCUGAUCUCCUGUGGCCCCGGUUGUGGGGCGGUCACCUUGACAUCGGGUGGUGGAUGUGGCGCUGAGAUCCUUCAGCUCUCCCAGCCUCAGCAGCCCAUUCCCCAGUUUCCAACCUCCCACCCCACGCCCUGGGGCCUGGGACAUCCCCCCGCAGGCUCCGGGCCGGGCCAGCUCCUCUCCUGGUGAAAGGAGCCAUUGUGAGGUCAGCCUGGGAGCUGGCAGGCGCUGCGCUGGCACACGUGGCUCCCGGAGGCCCCGGGGUCCGGCGAUUCCUGUCUCUGCUGCUGGGACCUGCCCAGAGAGAAGGGGUGAGGUCAGAGGGGCCUGGGCUAUCAUGGGGGCUUCUGGGCCUGCUGCGGCUGGACCCUGAAGAUCCACUGCAUUCUGAUUUCCAUCUGCCUCGGGUCCGAGGGAGGAGACUGGAGGGCAGGGCCGGCCGCUGGGACCUUCAGAACCUUGGAGCAGGAAGGACUUGCCAGCUGGGCCCUGGCAUAUCUGGGGCCCUCGCCAAACUGAAAGCCACGGUGUCCUAAACCCGGCCAGAACCCUGUUCCCUGGUGGGCCGGCCAAACCUGCAGAGCCCUGGAGGGAGAGGCAGGUCACUGAGGCCAUUCAGGAAAGGGCUUUCUGGUACAGCUGUCCAGGUUGUUCACUGCACAAGGGACCCAACCAAGAGAGGCAUGUGAAGGCUAAAAUCUACCUGCUGCUCUGCUCACCAGCUGUAUUCCUGUAGAUCUGUGUCUAUAAAAAGGUACAGCUGAGGGAAGGUGGGCUCUGAGGAGAUGAAAUGGCUUGUCCAAGACCCCACAACUAGGAAGUGACACAGCUGGGAUUCAAACUCAGGACCCAGCCUCUCAGGUCAGCAGUGUGGUGCAAGGCAGAGGCAGGGCUGGGAGGCAGGAGACGGGGCUGCGGUCCCAGCCCUCCAUCUUACUCACCUCUCCUGGCCUCACCUCGUCUCCUCAUCCGGGAGCGGGUGUGUCAAUUAAAGCUCUUUAAAAGCAAGUGACAGAGACCUGCUUUGGCUUAGUGAAGCGAAACAAGAAAAAAGGGGCUGCAUCGGGAGGAUCUGGGGCUGCCCACAGAAUGGGAGGAGGCGCUAAACUAGGCCUCAGAAAGGCCAGAACCCGGGGCCACUCCAGGGAUCCGGGAGCAGGGACCCGUGAACCGCAUCUAAGGCUAGUUCCCUAAAUAAUAACCCAGGCUCUGUUGUCGGAAGAAGAGAGCAUGGCUGCGGCAGCCCCAGACAGCUCCUGUCCACGUCCCACAUCAGUGAGGAGGCGGGCCCACCGGGGCGCCUGAAUCGAGUGAGCUCUGAUGGGGAAGCUCCGUGCAGGCUGCCAAGCAGCCCGAGACGCACGGGAGCAUCGUGUGUCCGUCUGUCCCUCCCAUCCAGGGCAGGGACGCAGGGGGAGCACGCCAGCUUCUCGUCCUGGCUUUGCCACUGACUGGUUAUGUGUCCUUGGGCAAGUCACUCUUCCUCCCGGACCAGAGUUUUGUCAUCUCUCGAAGACAGUGAUCAUCUCUAAGACCAGUCCUCAGCUCACUAAGGUGUUCGCAGCCCAUCCCAGGGGAAUUUGAGAAAUUAAAAGAUGUUCCUGGCAGCAACCACUUCACCUGAGGGAAUGAAUCAUAAAUGAUGGCACUUCAGGCUGCUGUGAAGAAGAUAUCAGGUGACAUCAAGUGGAAAAACACCCCCCUCCCCCAGGAACCCACGCAGGAAGACGGGCAGCGCGGGCACAGCGCCCCCACCUGGGGCUCCAGAACAUCUGCCGUGAGGGGCUGCAGAGAGUCCCUGCUCUGGGGCGAGAGGUUGGUCCCAGUUGAGAUUUCAUUUGCUGGAGGGCUUCCAGGCAGAGGAAACACAGCUGGCCCUCAGGAGACACGGGCCUCUGGACCACGUGUGUCACAGUGCCUUUGUUGAAGGAACACACAGAUUUGUGACAGCAGAUCGAGGCUCUGUGCAAAGAGAACAUCAGUUCUCUCCCGGCCUCAGUGUCUGCAUCUGUCAGAUGGGGAUAAGGUCAUUGUGCCAACCUCAUGGGGCCUUUCUGAGGACCCCCUGGGACAAUAGAGCUGAAAGAAAACCUGAGGACACAGAGGGCCAGGGGCCGAAGAAGGGCUAGAACAUGUGCUCCACAGGGCGGGGCCUGAGUCUGUCCGUGCACUGCUGCGUCCUCCGUGCAACGCGGGCUCCGGCACACAGCAGACGCUCGAAAAUUGUCUGUUGAGGAUGAAUAGCUGACACGCAAUACGGACUUGUGCAGCAAGCCCUGUUCUGAGAGUUUUCCAUGCACGCACGCUUCAUCCUGACAAUAAUACAGGUACUGUCGUCCCCAUUUAGAGAUAAGGCAACUGAGAGACAGAGGGAUUAUGUCACCUGCCCAAGGCCAGGCGGCUCGUAAGAGCAGGGCUGGCUUCCACCUCCCGCAGGCCGGCUCCAGGUCUGUGCUGUCACACAGAGUGCUCCUGUCUGAGUGCUCCUGUUUGAGUGCUCCUGUCUGGAUGCUCCUGUCUCAGUGCUCCUGUCUAGAUGCUCCUGUCUGAGUGCUCCUGUAUGAGUGCUCCUGUCUGGAUGCUCCUGUCUGAGUGCUCCUGUCUGGAUGUUCCUGUCUGGAUGCUCCUGUCUGAGUGCUCCUGUAUGAGUGCUCCUGUCUGGAUGCUCCUGUCUGAGUGCUCCUGUCUGGAUGUUCCUGUCUGGAUGCUCCUGUCUGAAUGCACCUGUCUGGAUGCUCCUGUCUGGAUGCUCCUGUCUGGAUGCUUUGCUUACGCAUGAGCGAAGGAAGAAGCUCGUGUGGGUAUUUAUGAAUGAGGUUUGGGAUUCCUCGUCUCUUUGCUUUGGGAAGAGGGUCUGAAGCUUCCAGCAAGGAUUCCUGUUUUUCACUCAUCUGUCAGCAGCUUCUGGUAUUUACAGAAAACACUUCGCAAAUGCAACAACAAAACUGGCCUCAUCAUCUGUCUCCAAACCUGGCAUCCUCUUCCCCUCCUCCCGGUGGCAGCUCGUGCUGUCACUGAGGACGGGUGCCCCAGACAGAAACUUGGAGUCAUUUUUGACACCCUUCCCUCUCUCCCCUGGACAGUCUCCUCAAGGUCACAGCAGAAACUGUCUCACAGCAAGUUCGUCCAGCUGUCACCCCUGUCAUCUUCCAGUUUGGGAAAUGCUCCUGUGGUCCAAUCCUUACUGGACAGAUGAAGAAACUGAUCCCAGAGAGGGCAAGGGACUUUCACAGCAAGUUAG